rnacentral:tRNA from 1 species
GCCAGAGUGGCGGAAUGGCAGACGCGCUGGAUUCAAAAUCCAGUGCCCGCAAGGGCGUGAGGGUUCGAGUCCCUCCUCUGGUA